rnacentral:tRNA from 1 species
GCGGGUGUAGUUUAGUGGUAGAAUGACUGCCUUCCAAGCAGUAGACAGGGGUUCGAUUCCCCUCACCCGCA